UACGGGGGGGGCAAGCGUUGUUCGGAAUUACUGGGCGUAAAGGGCCAGUAGGCGGCCAACUAAGUCGGAUGUGAAAUCCCCAGGCUUAACCUGGGAACUGCAUCCGAUACUGGAUGGCUUGAAUUCGGGAGAGGGAUGCAGAAUUCCAGGUGUAGCGGUGAAAUGCGUAGAUAUCUGGAGGAAUACCGGUGGCGAAGGCGGCAUCCUGGACCGACAUUGACGCUGAGGAGCGAAAGCUAGGGGAGCAAACGGGG
rnacentral:rRNA from 1 species